rnacentral:rRNA from 1 species
GCUGGUUAAAAGCUCCGGCGGUGAAGGAUGAGCCCGCGGCCUAUCAGCUUGUUGGUGGGGUAAUGGCCUACCAAGGCGACGACGGGUAGCCGGCCUGAGAGGGCGACCGGCCACACUGGGACUGAGACACGGCCCAGACUCCUACGGGAGGCAGCAGUGGGGAAUAUUGCACAAUGGGCGAAAGCCUGAUGCAGCGACGCCGCGUGAGGGAUGACGGCCUUCGGGUUGUAAACCUCUUUCAGCAGGGAAGAAGCGAAAGUGACGGUACCUGCAGAAGAAGCGCCGGCUAACUACGUGCCAGCAGCCGCGGUAAUACGUAGGGCGCAAGCGUUGUCCGGAAUUAUUGGGCGUAAAGAGCUCGUAGGCGGCUUGUCACGUCGGGUGUGAAAGCCCGGGGCUUAACCCCGGGUCUGCAUCCGAUACGGGCAGGCUAGAGUGUGGUAGGGGAGAUCGGAAUUCCUGGUGUAGCGGUGAAAUGCGCAGAUAUCAGGAGGAACACC